GACGAACGCUGGCGGCGUGCUUAACACAUGCAAGUCGAACGGAAAGGCCUGCUUUCCCUUGUGGAUUGCGGGUACUCGAGUGGCGAACGGGUGAGUAACACGUGAGUGAUCCGCCCCCAACUUGGGUAUAAGCCUGGGAAACUGGGUCUAAUUCCCGAUAGGACUGCAGGGUGGUGCCUGUGGUGGAAAACGAUUUUCUAGUGGUUGGGGAUGAGCUCGCGGCCUAUCAGCUUGUUGGUGGGGUAAUGGCCUACCAAGGCGGCGACGGGUAGCCGGCCUGAGAGGGUGGACGGCCACAUUGGGACUGAGAUACGGCCCAGACUCCUACGGGAGGCAGCUGUGGGGAAUAUUGCACAAUGGGCGGAAGCCUGAUGCAGCGACGCCGCGUGGGGGAUGACGGCCUUCGGGUUGUAAACUCCUUUCGACCGCGAGGAAGCCACCUGGUUGGAAGGGUGGUGACGGUAGUGGUAGAAGAAGCACCGGCUAACUACGUG
rnacentral:rRNA from 1 species